AACGCACAUUGCGCCCCUUGGUAUUCCGGGGGGCAUGCCUGUUCGAGCGUCAUUAUAACCCCUCACGCUCUGCGUGGUGUUGGGGCAUGCCCGCGAGGGCAGCCCUUAAAAUCAGUGGCGGCGCCAUCAGGCUCUAAGCGUAGUAAUUUCUCUCGCUAUAGUGCCCUGGUGGUCGCUGGCCAGAACCCCUAAUUUUUCUAUGGUUGACCUCGGAUCAGGUAGGGAUACCCGCUGAACUUAA
rnacentral:misc_RNA from 1 species